rnacentral:rRNA from 1 species
UACAGAGGGGGCAAGCGUUGUUCGGAAUUACUGGGCGUAAAGGGCGCGUAGGCGGCCCGCUAAGUCGAACGUGAAAUCCCCAGGCUCAACCUGGGAACUGCGUCCGAUACUGGCAGGCUUGAAUCCGGGAGAGGGAUGUGGAAUUCCGAGUGUAGAGGUGAAAUUCGUAGAUAUUCGGAAGAACACCAGUGGCGAAGGCGGCUCACUGGACCGGCAUUGACGCUGAGGUGCGAAAGCGUGGGGAGCAAACAGG